AUGGCGGCGGAUCUGUCGGGCCUGGCUGUCCGGCUCUAGGGCUCGGCCGCCGCCCGCCCCCGUGGGGUCUUCUGCAAGGGGCUGACUCGCAAGCUGCUGUCUUCUUCGAUCUGGCCUGGCGGCUGCGCAUCAACUUCCCCUACCUCUACAUGGUGGCUUCCAUGAUGCUCAACGUCCGCCUGCAGGUUCAUAUUGAGAUCCA
rnacentral:lncRNA from 1 species